CGUCGUUUCUCGUGACGAUGGAAGAGUACAUCAGAGAAGCUCCCAGUGCUGGUCAGGUUGCAAACAAGACCAUUGUUGUGGCAGGAACAUCCAUAUCUGGUCUGCUGGCCAAUUUUAAAUUCUUGUUUAUGCGGAGAGGCGCCGAGCCAGCUGCUAGUGUCCUCUGCUGUUGGCAGUUGUUGAUGAGAUGAAUGUGGGCAUCAACCGACCUCAGCAGCAGCUCCAGGAAUAGCCUUCACCUGGGUGUGCCGUGUGCAGCACCAACACCACUAGUAGCAGCAGCUCUAGGAUAAGGCCUAGAGGUCGAGUGGAGGAGUGCCGUGUGCAGCAGCAGCACCACCAGUAGUAGCAGCAGCUCGAGAGAGGAGGAUCGCCUGGGCCUAGAAGUGGAGGCGCUUGGACCUGGGUGCACUCUUGGAGGUGGAGGCGCCAGGAUCUGGGUGGAGGUGGAUGUGGAGGUU